AACGAACGCUGGCGGCAUGCCUAACACAUGCAAGUCGAACGAGAUCUUCGGGUCUAGUGGCGCACGGGUGCGUAACGCGUGGGAAUCUGCCCUUUGGUUCGGAAUAACAGUUGGAAACGACUGCUAAUACCGGAUGAUGACGAAAGUCCAAAGAUUUAUCGCCAGAGGAUGAGCCCGCGUAGGAUUAGCUAGUUGGUGUGGUAAAGGCGCACCAAGGCGACGAUCCUUAGCUGGUCUGAGAGGAUGCUCAGCCACACUGGGACUGAGACACGGCCCAGACUCCUACGGGAGGCAGCAGUGGGGAAUAUUGGACAAUGGGCGAAGGCCUGAUCCAGCAAUGCCGCGUGAGUGAUGAAGGCCUUAGGGUUGUAAAGCUCUUUUACCCGGGAUGAUAAUGACAGUACCGGGAGAAUAAGCUCCGGCUAACUCCGUGCCAGCCGCCGCAGUAA
rnacentral:rRNA from 1 species